GGGUAUAGUUCUUCGGAACUAGAGACCGGCGCACGGGUGCGUAACGCGUAUGCAAUCUACCUUUUACAGGGGAAUAGCCCAGAGAAAUUUGGAUUAAUGCCCCAUAGUAUARUUUAUUCGCAUGAGUAGAUUAUUAAAGUUCCAACGGUAAAAGAUGAGCAUGCGUCCCAUUAGCUAGAUGGUAAGGUAACGGCUUACCAUGGCGACGAUGGGUAGGGGUCCUGAGAGGGAGAUCCCCCACACUGGUACUGAGACACGGACCAGACUCCUACGGGAGGCAGCAGUGAGGAAUAUUGGUCAAUGGACGCAAGUCUGAACCAGCCAUGCCGCGUGCAGGAUGACGGUCCUAUGGAUUGUAAACUGCUUUUGUACGAGAAGAAACACUSCUACGUGUAGSAGCUUGACGGUAUCGUAAGAAUAAGGAUCGGCUAACUCCGUGCCAGCAGCCGCGGUAAUACGGAGGAUCCAAGCGUUAUCCGGAAUCAUUGGGUUUAAAGGGUCCGUAGGCGGUUUARUAAGUCAGUGGUGAAAGCCCAUCGCUCAACGGUGGAACGGCCAUUGAUACUGYUAAACUUGAAUUAUUAGGAAGUAACUAGAAUAUGUAGUGUAGCGGUGAAAUGCUUAGAGAUUACAUGGAAUACCAAUUGCGAAGGCAGGUUACUACUAAUGGAUUGACGCUGAUGGACGAAAGCGUGGGUAGCGAACAGGAUUAGAUACCCUGGUAGUCCACGCCGUAAACGAUGGAUACUAGCUGUUGGAAGCAAUUUCAGUGGCUAAGCGAAAGUGAUAAGUAUCCCACCUGGGGAGUACGUUCGCAAGAAUGAAACUCAAAGGAAUUGACGGGGGCCCGCACAAGCGGUGGAGCAUGUGGUUUAAUUCGAUGAUACGCGAGGAACCUUACCAAGGCUUAAAUGUAGAUUGACCGGUUUGGAAACAGACUUUUCGCAAGACAAUUUACAAGGUGCUGCAUGGUUGUCGUCAGCUCGUGCCGUGAGGUGUCAGGUUAAGUCCUAUAACGAGCGCAACCCCUGUUGUUAGUUGCCAGCGAGUCAUGUCGGGAACUCUAACAAGACUGCCAGUGCAAACUGUGAGGAAGGUGGGGAUGACGUCAAAUCAUCACGGCCCUUACGCCUUGGGCUACACACGUGCUACAAUGGCCGGUACAGAGAGCAGCCACUGGGUGACCAGGAGCGAAUCUAUAAAACCGGUCACAGUUCGGAUCGGAGUCUGCAACUCGACUCCGUAAGCUGGAAUCGCUAGUCC
rnacentral:rRNA from 1 species